CGGUAAUCCCAGGAAGCCACAAGUGGCAACCGGUUUUUAUUGGGCCUAAAGCGUCCGAAGCAUGUUUAGUAAAUUCUUCUGUGAAUCAUUAGGCUUAACUUAAUGGCGUGCAGACAGAGACUGCUAGACUAGGGACUGGGAGGAGUCAGAGGUAUUUUGGGGGGAGCGGUAAAAUGCUAUAAUCCCUGAAGGACCACCUGUGGCGAAGGCGUCUGACUAGAACGGAUCCGACUGUGAGGGACGAAAGCUAGGGGAGCAAUCCGGAUUAGAUACCCGAGUAGUCCUAGCUGUAAACUCUGCGAGCUAGGUGUUGCAUAAUCUUCGUGAUUAUGCAGUGUCGAAGCGAAGGUGUUAAGCUCGCCGCCUGGGAAGUAUGGUCGCAAGGCUGAAACUUAAAGGAAUUGGCGGGGGAGCACUACAAGGGGUGCGGCGUGCGGUUUAAUCUAAUUCAACGCAGAGAAACUCACCAGAAGCGACGGCAGGAUGAAGGUCAGAUUAAAGGUUUUACCUAACGAGCCGAGAGGUAGUGCAUGGCCGUCGUCAGCUCGUGCCGUAAGGUGUCCUGUUAACUUCUCCAAGGAAGUUUCGGAACGACCUUGGAAGUGACAGAAAGUCAGGCAACGAGCGAGACCUGCACUCAUAAUUGCUAACAGCUCUAUCAGAGGACUGAGCACAUUAUGAGGACUGCCUUUGAAAAAGGGAGGAUGGUGCAGGCUACGGUAGGUCUGUAUGCUCCGAAUCUUCUGGGCUACACGCGCGCAACAAUGGCAAGGACAAUGGGCUACAACUCCGAAAGGAGAAGUCAAUCCUCGAAACCUUGUCUUAGUUCAGAUUGAGGGUUGUAACUCACCCUCAUGACGCUGGAAUCCCUAGUAAUCAGGUCUUAUCAUGGCCUGGUGAAUAUGUCCCUGCUCCUUGCACACACCGCCCGUCAAACCACCCGAGUAGGGCUUAGAUGAGGCUUAAUUUUUAAUUAAUUCGAAUCUAAGCUCAGCGAGGAGGGUUAAGUCGUAACAAGGUAACC
rnacentral:rRNA from 1 species